CAAUACGAGCGGCGAACGGGUGAGUAACGCGUGAACAAUCUGCCUUAAAGUGGGGGAUAACCAUUCCAACGGAUGGCUAAUACCGCAUAGGGUAUGGGAGGGGCAUCCCUUCUUUACGAAAGCAUUUAUGCGCUUUAGGAUGAGUUCGCGUCCCAUUAGCUAGUUGGCGGGGUAACGGCCCACCAAGGCGACGAUGGGUAGCCGGCCUGAGAGGGUGUCCGGCCACAUUGGGACUGAGAUACGGCCCAGACUCCUACGGGAGGCAGCAGUAGGGAAUUUUGCGCAAUGGGGGAAACCCUGACGCAGCAACGCCAUGUGUGGGAUGAAGCAUUUCGGUGUGUAAACCACUGUCGGCAGGGAAUAAAGCCCGCAUUUAUGCGGGGGUGAAUGUACCUGCAAAGGAAGCCCCGGCUAACUUCGUGCCAGCAGCCGCGGUAAUACGAGGGGGGCAAGUGUUGUUCGGAAUUACUGGGCGUAAAGGGAGCGUAGGCGGGCUCUUAAGUUGGAUGUUUAAAACCGGGGCCUAACCCCGGCGUGGCAUCCAAAACUGGGAGUCUUGAAUGGGACAGAGGCCAGUGGAAUUAGAGGUGUAGCGGUGGAAUGCGUAGAUAUCUCUAAGAACACCAGUUGCGAAGGCGGCUGGCUGGGUCCACAUUGACGCUGAGGCUCGAAAGCGUGGGGAGCAAACAGGAUUAGAUACCCUGGUAGUCCACGCCGUAAACGAUGAACACUAGGUUUUGACUCCNUCAACGGGUCAGAGCCGCAGCUAACGCGUUAAGUGUUCCGCCUGGGGAAUACGGUCGCAAGACUGAAACUC
rnacentral:rRNA from 1 species